AAACUAUGGUAUGGGCAACAUCUUAGCGAGUCCUUGUACCUCCCCACACAUCAUACAUGCUCUCAUCAUCAAACUGGAAAAAAGAAGAAAUAUUAUUAUGCAU
rnacentral:snoRNA from 1 species